rnacentral:rRNA from 1 species
UGGGGAAUAUUGCACAAUGGAGGAAACUCUGAUGCAGCGACGCCGCGUGAGCGAUGAAGUAUUUCGGUAUGUAAAGCUCUAUCAGCAGGGAAGAUAACGACGGUACCUGAGUAAGAAGCUCCGGCUAAAUACGUGCCAGCAGCCGCGGUAAUACGUAUGGAGCAAGCGUUAUCCGGAUUUACUGGGUGUAAAGGGAGUGUAGGCGGCUUUGCAAGUCAGAUGUGAAAGCCCGGGGCUCAACCCCGGGACUGCAUUUGAAACUGUGAAGCUGGAGUGUCGGAGAGGUAAGUGGAAUUCCUAGUGUAGCGGUGAAAUGCGUAGAGAUUAGGAAGAACACCGGUGGCGAAGGCGACUUUCUGGACGACAACU